AUUGAACGCUGGCGGCAUGCCUUACACAUGCAAGUCGAACGGCAGCACGGGAGCUUGCUCCUGGUGGCGAGUGGCGAACGGGUGAGUAAUACAUCGGAACGUACCCAGUAGUGGGGGAUAACGCACCGAAAGGUGCGCUAAUACCGCAUACGACCUACGGGUGAAAGCGGGGGACCGUAAGGCCUCGCGCUAUUGGAGCGGCCGAUGUCUGAUUAGCUAGUUGGCGGGGUAAAAGCCCACCAAGGCGACGAUCAGCAGCUGGUUGGAGAGGACGAUCAGCCACACUGGGACUGAGACACGGCCCAGACGCCUACGGGAGGGAGCAGUGGGGAAUUUUGGACAAUGGGGGCAAACCUGAUCCAGCAAUGCCGCGUGUGCGAAGAAGGCCUUCGGGUUGUAAAGCACUUUUGUCAGGGAAGAAAUCUUUCAGGCUAAUACCCUUGGAAGGAUGACGGUACCUGAAGAAUAAGCACCGGCUAACUACGUGCCAGCAGCCGCAGUAACAC
rnacentral:rRNA from 1 species